GGAAUUGACGGGACCGCACAAGCGGUGGAUGAUGUGGAUUAAUUCGAUGCAACGCGAAAACCUUACCUACCCUUGACAUGUCCGGAAUCCCGAAGAGAUUUGGGAGUGCUCGCAAGAGAACCGGAACACAGGUGCUGCAUGGCUGUCGUCAGCUCGUGUCGUGAGAUGUUGGGUUAAGUCCCGCAACGAGCGCAACCCUUGUCACUAGUUGCCAUCAUUUAGUUGGGCACUCUAGUGAGACUGCCGGUGACAAACCGGAGGAAGGUGGGGAUGACGUCAAGUCCUCAUGGCCCUUAUGGGUAGGGCUUCACACGUCAUACAAUGGUCGGUACAGAGGGUUGCCAAGCCGCGAGGUGGAGCCAAUCCCUUAAAGCCGAUCGUAGUCCGGAUCGUAGUCUGCAACUCGACUACGUGAAGUCGGAAUCGCUAGUAAUCGCAGAUCAGCAUGUCGCGGUGAAUACGUUCCCGGGUCUU
rnacentral:rRNA from 1 species